GCCCCAGCCAAUCACGCCCGCGCCCGCGUCCCUCCAGGAUGGCAAUUGCGGGGUCCCGGCCUGCCAGGCCAUCAUCAGCCCCACUCAGUCAUUUGAGCACCUCAGCGGUGGUUCAGCGGGGAGUGGAACUUCCUUCCACCCCCUGCUGCCCGGCUGAUUGGCAGCCAGCGGGGCUGGAAGGGGGAGGGGAGCAGGAGCAUCUGAUUGUUUGCUGCUGGGCGAGCAGGGCUUAGUGGUGGCAGAGAGAGGGCCCAGGAGCUCAGGAGGCUAACAGACAGAGGAUGCUCUGAGUCAGGAACCCCCGGACAGAGUCCAGGUCUGUCUGUUGUCUGGCUCCCGGCCCUGGUAGGGAAAUGAUGGAUGAGGGGCUUUGCAGAGCAUCCCCAGGUAGGGGGAAGAGAGGAGGCUUAUCUUUUAUAGAAUUGAGGCCAGUGGCCCAGGGGACCUCAGGUCUCAAGGCUCCGUAGGAGGCCUGACUGCUGUAGACACCAGGACCUGCAGACCUCUGUCCUCUCCCACGAAAAUCAAGAACAAAGGAAUGCACUUAGCAACCAGGCCAGGGGGACUCCUGGCAGGAUCUGUCUAAACGGCCCUCCUUUGACAAAGGUACCUGGUCUCUCCUGUGACGAUCCCUGGGCUCCCAACUGCUCACUGAUUAUCCUGCCGCCUGAAAUACCAGCUGAGUCUCCAAAGCAGCAGGGGUACCGUGAACCUCAGCUAUACAUGGUCGCUGGAAAGGAAGGGCUGCUUUCCUACCUGAAUGCACAGACCAGGAAGCAGCGGAAGGCAGAUGGACCACGUUAUGCCUGCUCUGCCUACAGUUUGUUUCAUCGACAGGUCGGAUGAGACCCAGAUGGUUUGCCAGAGGGCAAUAUAUUGGCAGACGGUGCCUUGAUUCGUAGCGUAAGGCAUUGAUCAAGGCUGUUAGGAACAAGUGCCUGGCACCGAGCUAACCCUAGACAUUCAGCUCAGGGACGAACCUUCUUUCUAUCCCUUUGGAUUAAAAAGAGAGUGGGUUAGGUGGUCCCAGCAUGGUCAGAAAACCGGAAGCCUUAGGCUGCCUUCCAGCCUCUAUUUUCUCUCCUUGUUCCCUAGAACAUCCGCUUGCAAAGCCUUGAUGGUAAGGCUUGCAAACCCUCCAGGACAGGGCCCAUGGUCUACGAUGUCGUGGAACAUUCCCAGGAUGCGUACGGUAUUUGUACAUAAAAGGCACUGGAUAAAUGUGCGACCUGGCAGACUGGCUCCUUGUCAUAGCCCCUGGCCUGCCAGAAUCUGUUGCAGAAUCUUUUCUAGACGAAGGCCCAACAGGUCCUGAUGCCAGAGGCUGCUGCCUUCUACGGGCCACCAGGGAGAGUUCAGACCAUCCAGGCUCCUCGUCAGGAGUAUCACCA
rnacentral:lncRNA from 1 species